ACUCUUCUAGAGUAACUGAGCAACACAUCUUGGUAAGAUUAGCAUGGGUCCUGAACAGGGAUGACAUGGAAAUUCAUGAACUAUUCCAUAUUUUU
ensembl:snRNA U6 U6 spliceosomal RNA